rnacentral:lncRNA from 1 species
GCAAGGUCACCACCAGGAACAACAGUUGGUGGCUGAUAGUUAAUACCACACUUGAAUCCAGUAGGGCACCAGUCAACGAAUUGGAUGGUGCGCUUAGUCUUGAUGGUGGCCACAGCAGCAUUAACAUCCUUUGGCACCACAUCACCACGGAACAUGAGACAGCAAGCCAUGUACUUGCCAUGACGAGGGUCACACUUUACCAUCAUGGAAGACGGCUCAAAGGCACUGUUGGUGAUCUCUGCAACUGAGAGCUGCUCAUGGUAGGCCUUCUCAGCAGAAAUGACAGGAGCAUAUGAGGAAAGCAUAAAAUGGAUCCUGGGGUAUGGCACAAGAUUGGUCUGGAAUUCGUUCACAUCAACAUUCAAAGCACCAUCAAACCUCAAAGAUGCUGUGAGUGAAGAGAUAACCUGCACAGAUUGGACACAUAUUAGCAUUCGCAAAAUUGGAGUUAAUUUUUUGUCAGACAAACAUGAAUGACAGGUUAUUAAGCUACCUGUGAGAUAAGGCGGUUAAGGUUGGUGUAAGUAGGGCGCUCAAUGUCCAGUGAGCGCCUGCAAAUGUCAUAAAUGGCUUCAUUGUCCAGAAGGAUGGAAACAUCAGUGUGCUCGAGGAGGGAAUGAGUUGACAGAACACUGUUGUACGGCUCAACAACAGAAGUUGAGACCUGUGGUGAAGGAUAAAUUGUGAAACCAAGUUUUGACUUCUUUCCGUAGUCAACAGAGAGACGCUCCAGAAGAAGCGACCCCAGACCUGAACCAGUACCACCACCAACAGCAUUGAAUACCAGGAACCCUUGAAGACCAGUACAGUUGU